CCAAGCAAGGAAGAGAGAGAAAGAGAGGAAGAACAAAGGGAAAAACAAGAAAACCUAGGUGGAAAAUUCAAAGAAAAAGUGAAGAAAUCAAGGAAACAAGCUAGGUAAGUUAGAAUUUCUUUAGUUCUCCUUAAUACCUAGCUUACCCAUGCUUUUGUUCUUGAUUUUCAUGGUUGAAUAUUGAGUUAUUACGAUGAAUUCAAUUCUGAAAAAUGGGUUAAGAGAGAGAAAAUUGUUAGAUUAAUUUGGUUUUAAGUUAUGUUAGUGUUUUAAGUUAGUUUAGCAUAUGUAGAAACAAAACAACAAGAAAAGAAUUUAUUUUCUCCCACAACCAUUAAUGGUCAAAUUUGUCAUAUGUUGAGUGAGGAUGAAUUUGAUUUUCAUUUUAGGAGAAUUGGUUAAGAAAUGAUGAAUUAUGAGCCUAGAAAAAUAGUGAGAAUUUUCGGAGCAAAAAUAUGAAUUUUUACCCACUAGGGGUAUUUUCGUAAUUUGCUAUCGAGACUGAUAAAUUGAAUCUCAUUCACAGUCAUGGAGGUAAUUUAGUUAUAAUUGGAGUGUAGAAAGUGAGAAUAAUUGAUUUGGAGUUAAAUUUAAGAUAAUAGGCCGAAUUAGGUCAACACCGCAUUUAAGCGAUAGUCGAAUAAGUUGUAUAUCAUAUCAUACAUAUAUACCGAGCCUGAAUUGAUUUUAUAAUGGUCAAGCAUUGAUGUCAUGAAUUAUGUAUUAUACAUUGUGGAUAGGUGGUGAGCAAAGUACACUGGUAAAAGUAUAGAAAUUGUGCUUGGAGACUGGGAUUAGGAGUACAUCGACUCCUAGAACAGUGAGUGAACUUAUUAUCGUCUUAAUUAUCUGGAGUAGUUUUAUACAAUUGUGUGAUUUUAUGGAAAAUGGGUUUAAAUGGUAAAUUGCUAUGUUUUAAGAGAAAUUACGAUUUUAUAAAGUGAUUUUAUAAAUUUUCUAGAAAAAUCGAAUACUGGUUUGGAAAAUAGAGUAAUUGGAGACUGCCUGCUUGUGUUGUAAAUUUAUGGUUUUAAAUUGAAUGGCUUAUGAUAAUAUAUGAGCAUGAAUGGCUAAACUGAUUUUGGUGUUAUAAUUAUUUAUACUGUGUAUUCAGCCUUGAGAGGCUAGGUUGCGAUAAAUUGCCACGUCAUGCUAUAAUGAAUUUUAUUGAUUGGUGGAGUAUAUAUUAAUUAUUCACUGCAGAGGGGGUUCCGUGGACCAGCCUAUUAGAGGGGCACGGCAAACUCCAUUAUAUUCUUACCUCGAACGGAGAGGCGCGUAGGGUAUCUCCAGGGGUAAAGCUGAGGGUUCACUUCACGCCAAACCACCACGUGAAGGGGAACUCAGCCAACGCCAAGGAACGGCUGUAUUUUUCUCAAACGAAAAAUAUAUUUUAAGUGUAUACAAAAUUUUAACAGCCUUGGCGGACUCGGUUGGAUGCCCUGCGCAAGGUAUCACCGAGUAUGAGUUUUGGCACGAGCCAAAGUUUUAAGAAAUUCAUAAGGCAAGUUGAUUUCUCGAUUUAUAUGGAUUGAUUUUAUUUGGUUGAAAUGAACUGAAAGGUAAUGAAAUUACAGUAUGAUGACUUAUUUUAAUUGUCUCCAUUUACUCGACUUUAGAUAGUUUAGAUGGUAUCUAUUUACUCACUAGGAUUUUAUAAUCUCACCAGCCUCAUUUCCUCACAUUUCAGGCUCGGGGAAUUCCAUAGUUAGCUAACUUUGACAAGGACUUUCAUUUCGACUCGAAU
rnacentral:lncRNA from 1 species